rnacentral:tRNA from 1 species
GCAGCCGUGGCCUACUGGUUAGGCCUUCGGACUUGUAACCGGAUGGUUUGCCGGUUCGAUCCCCGACCAGUAGGA